UACAGAGGUCUCAAGCGUUGUUCGGAUUCAUUGGGCGUAAAGGGUGUGUAGGCGGCUAGAUAGGUCCGUUGUGAAAACUCGAGGCUCAACCUCGAGACGUCGAUGGAAACCAUCUGGCUAGAGUCCGGAAGAGGAGAGUGGAAUUCCUGGUGUAGCGGUGAAAUGCGCAGAUAUCAGGAGGAACACCAAUGGCGAAGGCAGCACUCUGGGACGUGACUGACGCUGAGACGCGAAAGCGUGGGGAGCAAACAGG
rnacentral:rRNA from 1 species